rnacentral:rRNA from 1 species
GACGAACGCUGGCGGCGCGCUUAACACAUGCAAGUCGAACGGAAAGGCCUGCUUUCCCUUGUGGAUUGCGGGUACUCGAGUGGCGAACGGGUGAGUAACACGUGAGUGAUCUGCCCCCAACUUGGGUAUAAGCCUGGGAAACUGGGUCUAAUUCCCGAUAGGGCUGCAGGGUGGUGCCUGUGGUGGAAAACGAUUUUCUAGUGGUUGGGGAUGAGCUCGCGGCCUAUCAGCUUGUUGGUGGGGUAAUGGCCUACCAAGGCGGCGACGGGUAGCCGGCCUGAGAGGGUGGACGGCCACAUUGGGACUGAGAUACGGCCCAGACUCCUACGGGAGGCAGCAGUGGGGAAUAUUGCACAAUGGGCGGAAGCCUGAUGCAGCGACGCCGCGUGGGGGAUGACGGCCUUCGGGUGGUAAACUCCUUUCGACCGCGAGGAAGCCACCUGGUUGGAAGGGUGGUGACGGUAGUGGUAGAAGAAGCACCGGCUAACUACGUG